CCUACGGGAGGCAGCAGUGAGGAAUAUUGGUCAAUGGACGAGAGUCUGAACCAGCCAAGUAGCGUGAAGGAUGACUGCCCUAUGGGUUGUAAACUUCUUUUAUAUGGGAAUAAAAUGUUCCACGUGUGGGAUUUUGUAUGUACCAUAUGAAUAAGGAUCGGCUAACUCCGUGCCAGCAGCCGCGGUAAUACGGAGGAUCCGAGCGUUAUCCGGCUUUAUUGGGUGUAAAGGGAGCGUAGGUGGAUUGUUAAGUCAGUUGUGAAAGGUUGCGGCUCAACCGUAAAAUUGCAGUUGAAACUGGCAGUCUUGAGUACAGUAGAGGUGGGCGGAAUUCGUGGUGUAGCGGUGAAAUGCUUAGAUAUCACGAAGAACUCCGAUUGCGAAGGCAGCUCACUGGACUGCAACUGACACUGAGGCUCGAAAGUGUGGGUAUCAAACAGGAUUAGAUACCCGAGUAGUC
rnacentral:rRNA from 1 species